rnacentral:rRNA from 1 species
UACGUAGGUGACAAGCGUUGUCCGGAAUUAUUGGGCGUAAAGCGCGCGCAGGCGGUUAUGUAAGUCUGAUGUUAAAGCUCGGGGCUCAACCUCGGUUCGCAUUGGAAACUGCGUAACUUGAGUGCAGAAGAGGAAAGUGGUAUUCCACGUGUAGCGGUGAAAUGCGUAGAUAUGUGGAGGAACACCAGUGGCGAAGGCGACUUUCUGGUCUGUAACUGACGCUGAGGCGCGAAAGCGUGGGGAGCAAACAGG